AGCAGGAUCAUUCUCGUAUAUCGAUUAUGAUGUCUUUCCAGCUUCGGCUGGACUGACACAGAAUACAUAUGGGGUGGUUCUCUUUCGGGAGAGCCACUUCCUCUCGCUCCAUCAAAAGAGCUUGUGUAUUCUUCAAAGAAAGAGACCUCAGUUGGUCGAAGACCUGCGAGUCCUCUUCUCGAACUGCUUGCUGUGCAAUGUUGCCAAGGUUUUACACCGUCUAAGGCCUUGCACACAGCUUUCGAGUAUAAAAAGAGCGACCCUUCUUCACCGUUUCUGAACUCUCUCUGGAGAACCAACACAAAAUAAGCUCGGGGCGAUGAGAUCAUCUCCUCUGGAGUCGCCAGAUGACUCACGUUAUCUUGGCUUGAUUCUGAGGAGCAAGGUUCCAUUAAUUUGGGGCCUAUGUGAAAUCACUGGACGAUGGAUGUCUCGGUUCGAAGCUCGAUGAAGGUCGCAGCAAAGUGCGAUAAGUGUCACGACUUGCAGACUCUAGUGAGCUGACCAAAUACUGAAUGCAAAUUGCGGCUAGUUAAGUCUGGCCAUGCAUUGCAGAGUGUUGUUGAUAUCGGUCAUCCGCCGAUGCUCGAAAGAGCCAUCGCUAGUGGGACCUCGUUGAUGUCUGGUGGAUCAACUACCGACCAACGUGAAAAGAUAUCCACACCCGCUCCACACAGGCAACUGUUUGGUUCAGGUGUGCGAUUGGAGACACAAACUCACAAUCGACAGCCUCGUGCAGUCAGUUGAAGAACCCCCUUCAACCUCUGCGAUGCAGGAUAACGCGCUGAACUUAAGCAUAUUACUAAGCGCAGGAAAAGAAAACAACAGUGAUUUCCCUAGUAACGGCGAGUGAACAGGAAACAGCCCAAGAUUGAAUCCGUGGUGGAGGGAAUCCGAAGCCAUGGAAUUGUAGUGCCAGGGGAGCGAGGCAAGAGUCUUGCAGUGUGGUUGAAUGGCCUGAAAAGGCUAAUCCAUAGAGGGUUAUCGUCCCAUAUGUGCCACACGCGCUUGAUUCAACAAAGCUUCGUUCUUCCAAGAGUCGUACAGUUUGGGAAUGCUGUGCAAAAUCGCUGGUGUGCUUCAGCGAAGGCUAAAUAUUGCUUCGAGACCGAUAGCGAACAAGUAGUGUGAACGAAAGAUGAAAAGAACUUUGAAAAGAGAGUGAAAAGUACCUGAAAUCGUCCAGUGGCAAGGUAUAGGAAACCUGUUAGCCGGCCUUCUGGGUCGGUGUCGAUCGGACAGGUUGGCCUUUCCCGGUGGUCCGCCGAGCAUUCCGGUUUUACCGGCGUGUCAGCGAGGCCGAUACGGUGAAUGGGCCGACUGGUCUAUGCCACUCUUCGCUCGGGUGUCGCAGUGUGUGGCUGGUGUGCGGGAGCAUCUGUCUCUUCGGAGGUGGUUCUCACGUGUGCUAGCUUUGCGCCACGAUGCCCGAAGCUCGGUAUGGCUUCCGAUUAGUAAAUGAUCUUAUACCACCCGUCUUGAAACACGGACCAAGGAGUCCACCGAAUGUGCGAGUGUUAUGGUGUCAAACAGAGCCCUUAGGGGGCGUUCGACGCGUAAUGAAAGUGACAUAAAUCUGUGAUCCGUAGCCUCGGCUGCGGUGCAACAGAGCUCGAUCCUGAUUCUGUGUAAAAGGGAUUUGAAGUCAAGCACAUUCGCUGGGACCCGAAAGAUGGCGAGCUUUCCCAGGCCGGUCGAAGCCAGGGGAAACCUUGGUGGAGGACCGAAUGCAGUACUGACGUGCAAAUCGUUUGCCAGAUCUGGGUAAAGGGCGAAAGACUCAUCGAGCCAUCUAGUAGCUGGUUCCUAC
rnacentral:misc_RNA from 1 species